rnacentral:rRNA from 1 species
CUUGGCGAGGCUACCUGCAGUCGAGCGGUAGCACAGAGAGCUUGCUCUCGGGUGACGAGCGGCGGACGGGUGAGUAAUGUCUGGGAAACUGCCUGAUGGAGGGGGAUAACUACUGGAAACGGUAGCUAAUACCGCAUAACGUCGCAAGACCAAAGAGGGGGACCUUCGGGCCUCUUGCCAUCAGAUGUGCCCAGAUGGGAUUAGCUAGUAGGUGGGGUAACGGCUCACCUAGGCGACGAUCCCUAUCUGGGCUGAGAGGAUGACCAGCCACACUGGAACUGAGACACGGUCCAGACUCCUACGGGAGGCAGCAGUGGGGAAUAUUGCACAAUGGGCGCAAGCCUGAUGCAGCCAUGCCGCGUGUAUGAAAAAGGCCUUCGGGUUGUAAAGUACUUUCAGCGAGGAGGAAGGCGUUGUGGUUAAUAACCUCAGCGAUUGACGUUACUCGCAGAAAAAGCACCGGCUAACUCCGUGCCAGCAGCCGCGGUAAUACGGAGGGUGCAAGCGUUAAUCGGAAUUACUGGGCGUAAAGCGCACGCAGGCGGUCUGUCAAGUCGGAUGUGAAAUCCCCGGGCUCAACCUGGGAACUGCAUUCGAAACUGUGAGGCUAUAGUCUUGUAGAGGGGGGUAGAAUUCCAGGUGUAGCGGUGAAAUGCGUAGAGAUCUGGAGGAAUACCGGUGGCGAAGGCGGCCCCCUGUACAAAGACUGACGCUCACGUGCGAAAGCGUGUGGAGCAAACAGGAUUAUAUACCCUGUGAGUCCACGCCGCAAACGAUGUCGACUUGUAGGUUGUUCCCUUGAGGGAGUGUCUUUCUCGCAGCUAACGCGCUUAAGUCGACCAGCCCUCUGGAGUACUGGCCCCGCGAAAGGGGUUAAUAAACUUCAUAAAAUG